GGAAAAAGAAGUUUGGCGCGGAAAUCUCUGCACAGCAGUCGCCUUCACGACUUACUCUGACCGUCAAUUUCCUGGACACACGGAUGGAUCCCAACAUAUCUUAUGGAGAAAUAGCCGCAAAGGCACCCCCAGAACACAGUGAUGACUCUGAUCUGGAGUCGUUCAGCGACAAAGAACCAGAGAAUGCUCCUUCAGCCCGGGCAUCUCUUUCAGCUGACUGUCAAGAUGAAGGCAUCUCUAGAACUCCAAGCACAGACAAUAUCGAAGAAAUUCCCAAGCCUUCGAAAAAUGGUCCUGCAUGGAGUGUUGUCCAAGGCUCCACUGGUAAUACCAUGCCAAAGCGGAAGGACGUACCGCCCUGUCCAUUCCCGGUUGAGUGUCUAAUCAGUUAUUUUAGAGAAUUCUUUUACAUGGAUUUUUUGUCUCUAAUCUGUGAGCAGUCUUCCCUGUAUAGCGCUCAGAGGAAUCCCAACAAAGUUACUUGAAUGAGUGUCAACGAUUUGGAGCAGUUUAUCGGCACAGUGCUCACUAUGUCAAUUAUGAAGCUGCCUCAAACGCGCAUGUAGUGGUCGGAAAGGUUCCGCAUCAGUCAAGUUGCCGACACCAUGACGAGAGACAGAUGGGAAGAAAUCAAACAGUCACGGCACUUCACUGACAACCAGGAGGCACCGGACCUCAAUGACCCCGAACGCGACAGGUUGUACAGAGUGCGGCCCCCUAUUGGACCACGUGGUCUCCAAAUGCCGUGAAAUACCAAAAUCUCAGAAACUAUGCGUUGAUGAGCAGCUGGUGCCUUUCAAAGGCCGCAGCCCAUUGAAGCAGUACUUGCCAAACAAGCCGAAGAAAUGGGGUUAUAAAUUAUUCCGUCUCUGCGAUGAGUGCAGCAUAAUGUACAACUUUGAAGUGUACACAGGCUAAAUUUUUCCGUAGCCGGGUUUUCCAGACAUCGGUGCCAGCGGCAACAUCGUUCUCAGAAUGGCGAGUGUCGUGCCUCGCGGUAUAGACUACAUCUUGUAUUUUGACAACUGGGUUUGCAGUGUGAACUUACAAGUGGUCCUCAAAAAGGCUGGUAUCAGUUCCGUAGGCACAAUACGCGAAGCUCGCCUGAAAGGAUGCAAACUUCCAUCCGACAAAGAGCUAAAAAAGAAAGGGCCUGGCUCUUACGUGGAUAUGGAGACGACAUUUGAAGGGGUGAGUCUGAGGGCUGUGAAGUGGUUUGACAAUCGUCCCGUCACGCUGCUGUCCACAUUUGCAUCGGCGUCACCAGAGAAUACUGUGAAGCGCUUUGACAAGAAGACCCGAACGUCGGUGAGCAUAACUCAUUCUUCUAUUGUAGGUGUCUACAAUGAGUGCAUGGGCGGUGUGGAUCUAAUGGACAUGCUUGUGGCGCUGUACGGCAUCAACUUCAGAUCCAAAAGGUUGUACAGGCGGCUAUUCUUCCAUUUAUUGGAUGUCGUAAUCGUCAACUGUUGGCUCCUGUACCGCCGAGAUGCCACCGCGGAUAAGGUGCCACGCAACCAGCAAAUGACCCUACUGCAUUUCAAAGCAGAGAUAGCGUGCGUUUUGAAACAGCAGGGAAAGGUUGCAACACCUUCCAGAAGGCGACCGUUGGGCGCGUCAAAAAUUAAAAAUGAGCUACAAGCGAAGAAGCGCCGUGGGCCAGCAGCUCUUGUACCCUGCAAGGAGGUUAGGCUGGACACUAUUGAUCACCUUCCGAUGUUUUCUCCCAAAAAAGGUCGAUGCAAAUACCACAACUGCACAGGCAUUACACGUGUAAUGUGCAGAAAGUGUAACGUACACCUUUGUUUCACUCCAGAAAAAGAGUGCAUAUUCAAGUUCCACACUACCCCGUAAGAAUUGUGCAAUGACGCCUACUUAAGGACUCAUGCCUACUGUUGCCCACAGGCAGCAAAGCUAUAUUUCAGCUGAUAUGUAUAGCAUUUUUUUGUGUUUACAAAGUAUGCAUUCUCAUGCUCUAAUAAGUGCAGAUAUGAAAGAAAUAAACGAUUUUUUCAAGUA